AUUGAACGCUGGCGGCAUGCCUUACACAUGCAAGUCGAACGGCAGCGGACCUUCGGGUGCCGGCGAGUGGCGAACGGGUGAGUAAAGUAUCGGAACGUACCUUUCAGUGGGGGAUAACGUAGCGAAAGUUACGCUAAUACCGCAUAUUCUGUGAGCAGGAAAGCAGGGGAUCGCAAGACCUUGCGCUGAUUGAGCGGCCGAUAUCAGAUUAGCUAGUUGGUGAGGUAAAGGCUCACCAAGGCGACGAUCUGUAGCGGGUCUGAGAGGAUGAUCCGCCACACUGGAACUGAGACACGGUCCAGACUCCUACGGGAGGCAGCAGUGGGGAAUUUUGGACAAUGGGGGCAACCCUGAUCCAGCCAUGCCGCGUGAGUGAAGAAGGCCU
rnacentral:rRNA from 1 species